GAAUAACAUUACGUACACGGACCUUCAUCUCACCAUCACUACGCAACAGCGAGUGAACGGGGUUGACACGGCAACAAACUCCGUGCCGAGUGCAAAGCGGCGUCUCCUCCACAGCAGCAGCGAGCUGCGCGCGACCAGCGGCUCCAUGCGUCUGUCUGCCCGCGCCUCUUCCUCGCCUGGUCUCCGGUCUUCCUCCUCCGUUUACACCCGUUUCAUUUCUACUUCGGCGGGCACACGACGACAGACAGACUGACGUCGCUUCGGUGAAGCACCGCCCCCCCCCCUCCCCAUCCCUUCCUGUUGGUGUAUAUAAAUAUUCUUUUUGAGUAUCCUUCAUUGCCAAGCCGCCAAAGUGGAGAGUGUGAUUUCAGAAGGGGGUGCUUCUCGUUUCAGUGCUUCUUCGGGGGGAGGAGGUGGUAGGGGCGCACCUCAGCUCUAUCCCAAAACUGUCGGCAACAG